CUGGGAGAGGUGGAACUCAGACCGCGGAGGAAGGAGUGCUGGAGCGUUGGUGGUGGUUUCCUCUAGCACCCCCUGUUGGCGGACUUUAACAAGGAGCCAGCUGGCAAAGAACUGCAGCCGAAGGAGGCCAGUCCCGGCAGCUACGGGAGUACAGGUUUCUAGUUUGGGGCUCUUACACAUAAUGCUGUUACGAGCAUUCUUGUGUACUCGUAUUUUGGGUGUGUAUACCAAGGAGUGUUCUUGCUGGAUUUAAUAGAUACAGAUAAUACCUGUUCUGGUGAUUGUGAAUUGUGAUUUCAAUAUGCGUAUUUCUUUUUCUUUUUUUUCUCCCCCCCUCGGGUGCGAAAACAUGGUUUUAUUCAGGACCCCUGGGCAGAAAGAGCUGCUUCAAUUUGCAUGUUUCUAAUUACUCUUGAAGUUGGCCAUCUUUGACCAUUGGGAUAUCCUCCCUAAUUAGAAAGUAUCUUCGUGGGGCGCCUGCCUGGCUGGGUCCGAGGAGCCCACGACUCUUGAUGUCUGGGGUCCUGGGUUGCAGCCCCACAGUGGGGUGUAGAGAUUAGUUACAUAAAUAAAACUUUUAAAAAGGUUCCUCAUUGGGAGGCCUGGCUGGCUCAGUUGGUGAAAUAUGGGACUGUUGAUUUUGAGGUUGCAAGUUGAAGCCCCACUUUUGUUUUGUUUUGUUUUUUUAAGGUGCAUCGUGAAGUCUCUAGCCUAUUUACAGUUGGAUGGUCCGGCUUUUUCUUAUUGCUCUGUGGGGAUUUUUAAUAUACUCUUGAUGAAAUUUGAAGUGGGGUUCGUGAGCAAACGGCUAAGAUAGAAUUCUUGAGAUGUCUUUAGGGCAAAAAGGUGAUUUUAUUAAAGCACGGGGACAGGACCCAUGGGCAGGAAUAGCUGCCCUGGGGUUGUGAGGAGGGACUGAUUAUGUAGUUUUAGGUUUGGGAGGGGGGUAGAGAUAAAGUUAGUUUCCAAGGAAUUUCUGGACGCUGAAAGCAGGGUCUCACAGGGCCCUGAAGAUUUAGCUAUUGUCAAGAUAAGGUUGCUUUUAGUUUUUUAAGGGAGUGUAAACAUUAAGGCAUUAAGGCAGCCAUACACGUCUUGGGAAGUAUUACAUGCUGCAUGCAGGUCUCUGAUAUCUAUCAGUGGGCUCCAGGCUGUAAGGGAAUUUAAUUUCAACUACGUUUUUCUUGACUUUGUUUCUCUCAUCAUUGGUAUAAACCCUUUUGAUUAUAUGCAUUGCAAAUAUCCGCUCCCAGUCUGUGAACUUGUCUUUUUCACUCUCUGAACUGGUGUCUUGUGAUGAAUAGAUGUUCUUAAGUUUAUGUGGUACAACUUUACAUUUUUUCCUGUAGGGUUAGGCUGUUUUUUCUUUAAACAGUAUCUCCUUAUUCCAGAUCCAUGAAUAUAGUCUCCAAAGUCUUCUUUUUCUGUUUUUCAUCUCUUUUCUUUGUCCGUAUGUCCUGAAUUAUGAGUAGUUUCUUCAUAUGUAUUUUCUAAUUUACUUGUUCUGUUUUCAGCAGUUUCUAAUCAUCUGCUGGGUUUCUAAUUAAAAUAUUGUAUUUUUAAAAAAAUAAAAUACUAUAUUUUUAAUUGCGACAAAUCAUGAUUUUCCCCAAUUUUGCCUGUUCGUUUUUAGUUUGUUGUUCCUGGAUUGUCUUUUCAAAAUACUCAUUAUUUCUUUAAACACAAGAAGCAUGUCUCAUGGGUAUGAUGUACCUAAACAUUACAGUAUCUUCAGUCAUUGCAAAUGUGAUUCUACAGUUCAGUGUUUCUGCCAUCAUUGGCUUAUGGGGGCUUAUGUUUCUUUCAGAUGUUUAUAACUGCUAUGCGCCCAAGUUUGUUAGAAUUUUAUUCAUGGGAAU